CACGUAGGGCGCAAGCGUUGUUCGGAUUCAUUGGACGUAAAGGGUGCGUAGGCGGCGCGGUAAGUCGGGUGUGAAAUCUCGGAGCUUAACUCCGAAACUGCAUUCGAUACUGCCGUGCUUGAGGACUGGAGAGGAGACUGGAAUUUACGGUGUAGCGGUGAAAUGCGUAGAUAUCGUAAGGAAGACCAGUGGCGAAGGCGGGUCUCUGGACAGUUCCUGACGCUGAGGCACGAAGGCCAGGGGAGCAAACGGG
rnacentral:rRNA from 1 species